AAAGUCGUAACAAGGUUUCCGUAGGUGAACCUGCGGAAGGAUCAUUACAGAGUUGCAAAACUCCCAACCCUUUGUGAACGCACUGGAAACUUGCCUCGGCGGGGCGCCCUUCAGGGGGCAUCCCGCCGGAGGAACACUAAACUCUUGUUUUUUUGGCCUCUCUGAGUGAUUAUACAAUGAAUCAAAACUUUCAACAACGGAUCUCUUGGUUCUG
rnacentral:misc_RNA from 1 species